GUCAGAUAAUUCCAUGAGCUCAGAGCAUGGGAUGGAAGCAAUUAUUAAUAUGGACGACAUUGACAAUGAUUAUGAGAGAGAUAUUAGUGAUGAUGUUGCGUUGGAGGAAAACAGCAAUGAGGAAAUAUUUGGACUUGAAAAUGUGUAUGACUAUUAUGGUGAAUCCGACGUGGAGAAUUGUUUUUAUGAUGAGUCAGUAGUUGGCAAACAUUAUGUGGAGGCAAAGCCGUC